AAGCCAUGUUGGGGACACUUUCGGAGUAAUCCUUUGGACAUUUCCAUGCCUCGUACAAGGAUUCACUUUCUUUUUGUUCAAAAGAGGAGAUGUCUGCCUCAAGCUU